rnacentral:rRNA from 1 species
GACAGAGGGGGCAAGCGUUGCUCGGAAUUACUGGGCGUAAAGGGCGCGUAGGCGGGAUGGCAAGUCGGUCGUGAAAUCCCUCGGCUCAACCGAGGAACGUCGAUCGAUACUGCUGUUCUUGAGGAUUGCAGAGGAGACUGGAAUUCCCGGUGUAGCGGUGAAAUGUGUAGAGAUCGGGAGGAACACCGGUGGCGAAGGCGACUACCUGGCCUGUUCUUGACGCUGAGGCGGCGAAAAGCUAGGGUAGCAAACGGG